UAAUACGUAGGAUCCGAGCGUUGUCCGGAUUUACUGGGUGUAAAGGGUGCGCAGGCGGACUGGUAAGUCAGUGGUGAAAUCUCGUCGCUUAACGACGAAACUGCCUUUGAUACUAUCAGUCUUGAAUCCGGUAGAGAUCUGUGGAAUUCCGAGUGUAGCAGUGAAAUGUGUAGAUAUUCGGAAGAACACCAGUGGCGAAGGCAGCAGAUUGGGCCGGUAUUGACGCUCAGGCACGAAAGCAUGGGGAUCAAACAGGAUUAGAGACCCUGGUAGUCCAUGCCCUAAACGAUGUUCACUUGAUGUCUGCCCUCAGGGUAGGUGUCGAAGCUAACGCGAUAAGUGAACCACCUGGGGAGUACGCUCGCAAGGGUG
rnacentral:rRNA from 1 species